rnacentral:rRNA from 1 species
GAUGAACGCUGGCGGCGUGCCUAAUACAUGCAAGUCGAGCGAACAGACGAGGAGCUUGCUCCUCUGACGUUAGCGGCGGACGGGUGAGUAACACGUGGAUAACCUACCUAUAAGACUGGGAUAACUUCGGGAAACCGGAGCUAAUACCGGAUAAUAUAUUGAACCGCAUGGUUCAAUAGUGAAAGACGGUUUUGCUGUCACUUAUAGAUGGAUCCGCGCCGCAUUAGCUAGUUGGUAUGGUAACGGCUUACCAAGGCGACGAUGCGUAGCCGACCUGAGAGGGUGAUCGGCCACACUGGAACUGAGACACGGUCCAGACUCCUACGGGAGGCAGCAGUAGGGAAUCUUCCGCAAUGGGCGAAAGCCUGACGGAGCAACGCCGCGUGAGUGAUGAAGGUCUUCGGAUCGUAAAACUCUGUUAUUAGGGAAGAACAAAUGUGUAAGUAACUAUGCACGUCUUGACGGUACCUAAUCAGAAAGCCACGGCUAGCUACGUG